AUUGAACGCUGGCGGCAGGCUUAACACAUGCAAGUCGAACGAGUGGCGGACGGGUGAGUAAUGCUUGGGAAUCUAGCUUAUGGAGGGGGCUAACUACGGGAAACUGUAGCUAAUACCGCGUAACAUAGGAUGAGCCCAAGUGGGAGUAGGUAGUUGGUGAGGUAAAGGGUCACCAAGCAGACGAUGUCUAGCUGGUCUGAGAGGAUGACCAGCCACACCGGGAUUGAGACACGGCCCAGACUCCUACUGGAGGCAGCGGUGGGGAAUAUUGCGCAAUGGGGGCAACCCUGACGCAGCCAUGCCGCGUGUAUGAAGAAGUCCUGAGGGUUGUAAAGUACUUUCAGCGGGGAGGCGUUACCCGCAGAAGAAGCACCGGCUAACUCCGUGCCAGCAGCCGCGGUAAUUC
rnacentral:rRNA from 1 species